UACUAACCAUUCUUUUCCCAGAAAAUUUCCGAGAAGCAGUUAAAUAUCCAUAGAGAACAUGCAAAUUAUGGGAAAAUAUUCAGUGAGUGGAGCAGUAUUGAAGAUGAAAUGGGCAAUGCUUUGCAAAAGGCCGGUCACUACAUGGUCAAUUUUGCAUCCGCCAUUGAUGAUCUUCAAGAAGAAGAAGAAUGUCAUCAUGUAGAUAAAUUGAAGGAGUAUCACCUUUAUGCGGACUAAAUCAGAGUACUGACAAGAAAGCAUCAGAUACGUCAUUACGAUCUCGAGAAAGCUGAAGAAACCGUCGCGUCUAAAACAGCGCAGAAGGAUGAAUUAUUGAAAGUGGUAAAUUAUCUACGUAGACAGUAGACUUUUUUCCCAAGCAUUCAAAAACUUUCGUCACCUGAUGGAGGUUUAUUUCCAUCGCCAAUUUAAGUAGCCGUCCAUAAUUUGGUGUUUUGAUAUUAAGUAAUUUUUACACAUGCAUAAAAGAUGAAAGUUUUAAA